rnacentral:rRNA from 1 species
UACGUAGGGUGCAAGCGUUGUCCGGAAUUAUUGGGCGUAAAGAGCUCGUAGGCGGUUUGUCGCGUCUGCUGUGAAAACCCGAGGCUCAACCUCGGGCCUGCAGUGGGUACGGGCAGACUAGAGUGCGGUAGGGGAGAUUGGAAUUCCUGGUGUAGCGGUGGAAUGCGCAGAUAUCGGGAGGAACACCCGUAGCGAAGGCGGCACUCUGGGCCGGUACUGACGCUGAGGAGCGAAAGCGUGGGGAGCAAACAGG